AACGAACGCUGGCGGCAGGCCUAACACAUGCAAGUCGAACGCCCGUAGCAAUACGGGAGUGGCAGACGGGUGAGUAACGCGUGGGAACGUGCCCUUCGGUUCGGAAUAACUCAGGGAAACUUGAGCUAAUACCGGAUACGUCCGUAAGGAGAAAGAUUUAUCGCCGAAGGAUCGGCCCGCGUCGGAUUAGCUAGUUGGUGAGGUAACGGCCCACCAAGGCGACGAUCCGUAGCUGGUCUGAGAGGANGAUCAGCCACACUGGGACUGAGACACGGCCCAGACUCCUACGGGAGGCAGCAGUGGGGAAUAUUGGACAAUGGGCGAAAGCCUGAUCCAGCCAUGCCGCGUGAGUGAAGAAGGCCUUAGGGUUGUAAAGCUCUUUCAGCGGGAAGAUAAUGACGGUACCCGCAGAAGAAGCCCCGGCUAACUUCGUGCCAGCCGCCGCAGU
rnacentral:rRNA from 1 species